GUGUUACUCCCUCCGAACGGAAAUACUUGUCAUCAAAAUAAAUAAAAAUGAAUGUAUCUAGAUGUAUUUUAGUUUUAGAUACACUCAUUUUUGUUCAUUUUGAUGACAAGUAUUUUCGGACGGAGGGAGUAGAAA
rfam:Triticum aestivum genome assembly, contig: Triticum_aestivum_CS42_TGACv1_scaffold_222227_3B